GGCCCAGUGGCCAAUUGGUAAGGCGUUGGUCCUGUAAACCAAAGAUCAAGGGUUCAUACCCCUGCUGGGCCU